GAUACCAACAACCAAUACCGACAACAGAGCAAACACUGACCAGAAUGGAUAAAUCACAGAAGGAUGUCUAUAAAGUAAAUGUAUCGAAUUAAUAGACAAAUUAAAUAUUUACGCAUAUGUAGCGAGUGGUAUGGUCGGAAAGAGAAACAAACUAAGUCACUACACCACCCUGUUAAACAGGGAAUAUAUUAGUACUUGUAGAUUAAUUACCAACAAAAGUCAUAUAGGUACCUGGUUUUAAGAAGAGAAGGACUUAGACGUGAAUACUAAAUACAAAACUUUAUUUCAACAAUCAAACACUAAUUAAAAAAAUCACUAAAAGACUGUAGGACCCGGACUACAAACAUGAAGCAGAGAAAACAUAGAAAAGGAGACAGAGGCUUACCAAUGGCAGAAAUCAUUUGGAAGGAGGUCUGGAAAUUUGAGUAUGGAAAAGUAUGGAAUUUUGAAAUGGAAAAUGUGUAGGAACCCUGUCUAUUGACUUUCAAUGUAUGGAAAAAAGCAGCGUGAACAUUCUACUAAAUGUCUGUUUUUGUUUGCCACAGAUCAAAGAAAGUCACAUUGGUUUGGAUCAACAUAAAGGUGAGGAAAAAGGUGACCAAAUCUUUAUAUUUGGGUAAACUAUCCCUUUCAUUGGUUCCUUCCUUGCAUGACCUUAGGUUCACCAAAGACCCUCCUCAGCAUUUUUGCUAUGUAGGGUUCUUAGGUUAAAAGUUUUUUGGAGAACAAACAUUCCUGAUGUUACAUUACAGACUCUUCAGAUCAUUGUUUAGGUUUCUAGGUCCUUACAAGCAACAGAAAAUGGAUGUUUUUUAAGAACUAGAAAAAUAUUUCUUUGUUAGUUACACAGAAUAGUUACUUGUCUGUAAAACCUUUUGGUACUAAUCUAACCUUUAUUCCUGUCAAGAUCACAUUGUUUCUCCUGUGUUUGCUUCACUUUAGAAACAGUCGCCAAGUCAGAAGCAAAAGCUGUCUGCUCCCGAAUGGGUCCAAAUGUUUGGAGUUUCCUCAGUGGCAGGCCAGAGAGAGAAAAAGAUCUGUCUACGGCAGGGCUCCUGUUGGGACAUAUGACCCUCCUGUAACGACAAAACAUGAGAAAGGACAGAGGAAUGCAGGAGCGAGAGGCCAGUCUGGAGAAGACAGCUGGAUGUGUUUAAGCAUGGUUUGUGAAGCAGCCAGUGAUGUUGCAUCACAUGCGACAAAUGUUUUUAGAUCUAUAUGUUGAUUUUGGAUUGGAUUUCCCAAUGCCAAUAAUAACUUUAGGUAUUACGUUAUUAAAGGAACUGCAGAAAUUUGAGGAAAAGUCCACCCCGGCCAAGAGUUACACGUCAGGCCACGCCCUCGUCAUCUGCUCCAGCUCUGUUGCUGUUCUGUGCUGGUGUGGUCAGCUGACUUGGCCAUGGCUGGGAUUUGAAUGACCCACAUUUCUCAAACGAGCAGGGCGAGAGAGCAGCUUUACUCUUGCCUUCUGGUCUUUCUCGAGGGAAUGUAUCUAUCAAUAGCUGGCCAUGUCUGUGUGAAAGAAUGCGGCCACACCGGACACCAAGCUGGUUCUGCUGGAGCCAACGUCAGCUUUCGAUGUAGAGACAAUUACUUGCACUUUAAAAAGCUGAACAUACUGUUGAGAAACUUUAGGAGCUUUUUCUACCUGAUCUGACCUUUACAAAUCACUUUACCCCCAGUGAAUUUCAAUGACUUUUCCAGUUUUCUAGUUAUUUGUGAUUACUGGUGAAGGAUUUUAAAAUAAUUUGAUUAGAGAUUCAGUUUUAAAAUAUUAUAUAUUAUCAUUGUAAUUAUUAUAAAUCUUUU